rnacentral:rRNA from 1 species
GACGAACGCUGGCGGCGUGCUUGACACAUGCAAGUCGAACGAUGAAGCCGGAGCUUGCUCCGGUGGAUUAGUGGCGAACGGGUGAGUAACACGUGAGCAAUCUGCCCUUGACUCUGGGAUAACUGCGGGAAACUGUAGCUAAUACCGGAUACGACACCUUGGGGCAUCCCAGGGUGUGGAAAGAAUUUCGGUCAAGGAUGAGCUCACGGCCUAUCAGCUAGUUGGUGAGGUAAUGGCUCACCAAGGCGACGACGGGUAGCCGGCCUGAGAGGGUGACCGGCCACACUGGAACUGAGACACGGUCCAGACUCCUACGGGAGGCAGCAGUGGGGAAUAUUGCACAAUGGGCGAAAGCCUGAUGCAGCAACGCCGCGUGAGGGAUGAAGGCCUUCGGGUUGUAAACCUCUUUUAGCAGGGAUGAAGCGAAAGUGACGGUACCUGCAGAAAAAGCACCGGCUAACUACGUGCCAGCCGCCGCGGUAA